AUAAUCAUUUGCCUUAUAAUUGAAGGCUAGUAUGAAUGGUUUGACGAGAGCAAUACUGUCUCCUUUUUAUUUUCAAAAACUUAACUUUUAGGUGAAGAGGCCUAAAUUUUAUUGAAGGACAAAAAGACCCUGUCGAGCUUAAAAGACAUUAUAGGAGUCUAAUAUAUUUUUAAAUAAAUUUUCUAUUAGGCUUUUUAGUUGGGGCGACUAGGGAACAAAAAAAGCUUCUUUCUAAUAAAUAAACAAUCAUGUUUAGAUCCGAUAAUAGCGAUCAAAGAAAUUAGUUACCGCAGGGAUAACAGCAUAAUCUCUCUUAAGAGGCCUAAUCGAAAGAGGGGGUUGUGACCUCGAUGUUGGACUAGAAUAUCCUAAAGAUGCAGAAGUCUUUAAGGGUCGGUCUGUUCGACCGUUAAAAUUCU
rnacentral:rRNA from 1 species